rnacentral:SRP_RNA from 1 species
CCGUACUAGAUGGGGAGUUAGUGCCUCCCUGUAACCCGUGGCUAUAUCGGGGUCGAAUUCCUUCCGGAGGCCGAGCCUUCGGUUCGGGUCCGUUCGGCCGCAGGCUGUCCGGGUCCCACGCAAUGAGAUGCCGUGAACCCCGUCAGGACCGGAAGGUAGCAGCGGUAAGCGGAACGUUCUCGUGUGCCGUGGACCGCCUGGAUAAGCGGUGGUUGAAAACGCCGGAUCGGCGGCGAGGUCGAGGGGAGGUGUACGG